rnacentral:rRNA from 1 species
GACAGAGGUGCCGAGCGUUAGGCGGAAUCACUGGGCUUAAAGCGUGUGUAGGCGGGCCGUUAAGUGUCUUGUGAAAUCCCCCGGCUCAACCGGGGAACUGCUGGGCAUACUGGCGGCCUUGGGCCACCCAGGGGCGAGCGGAACAGGCGGUGGAGCGGUGAAAUGCGUAGAUAUCACUUGGAACGCCAACGGUGAAAACAGCUCGCUGGGGGUAUCCUGACACUGAGACACGAAAGCCAGGGGAGCAAACGGG